rnacentral:misc_RNA from 1 species
UUUAUUUGGUAGAGCUAGACUUGGUAUCCAAGAUUCUAAUUUCCCACCUGAGGAGAAACUUGCAUUCAUAAAUGAUCAACCAGCUCAAGAAUUCGCAGUCGAAGAGGAUACUGCAGUGAGUGAAACAUGAGAAUAAAUCUGAGAAAAAGCUAGAAAUUUGUGUUACUGAAGAAAAAUGUCAGGAAUCAGUGAAGAAACAUAAGGCUGCAUCUUAUUCCCCC